GGGAACGGAGACUAACGUACGAUAUAUUUCGAACCGCAUGGUUCGAUAGUGAAAGAUGGUUUUGCUAUCACUUAUAGAUGGACCCGCGCCGUAUUAGCUAGUUGGUAAGGUAACGGCUUACCAAGGCGACGAUACGUAGCCGACCUGAGAGGGUGAUCGGCCACACUGGAACUGAGACACGGUCCAGACUCCUACGGGAGGCAGCAGCU
rnacentral:rRNA from 1 species